UUAACUCAAAUUUGUAUGGAGUUGGAACGUUUGCCUACGUUUGCCACUAGGGGCGCUGUUCCAACUGCAUACAAAUUUGAGUUC
rfam:Bombyx mori DNA, contig: Bm_scaf13_contig10163, strain: p50T/Dazao, build 2, whole genome shotgun sequence.